rnacentral:rRNA from 1 species
UAGCGGAGGAUCCAAGCGUUUAUCCGGAGUUUAUUGGGUUUAAAGGGUGCGUAGGCGGCCUAUUAAGUCAGGGGUGAAAGACGGUAGCUCAACUAUCGCAGUGCCUUUGAUACUGAUGGGCUUGAAUAUACUAAGAGGUAAGGCGGAAUGUGACAAGUAGCGGUGAAAUGCAUAGAUAUGUCACAGAACACCGAUUGCGAAGGCAGCUUCUAAUGGUAUUAUUGACGCUGAGGCAACGAAAGGCGUGGGGAUCAAACAGG